AGGCUUGUCUUUAAUUCACAGAGAUCUGCCUGCCUCUGCCUCACAAACACUGUUAUUAAGGACAAAUGCUGGAAAUAAAAAUGUGUCCCACCAGGUCUUGCUUCUUCCACUUUUCUGAGACAAAGUCUCAAAAGAGUCUGGCCUGGAGGCAUUAUGUAACCAAGGAUGACCUUGAACUCUUGAUCUUCCUACAACCAGAUAUGGGUGCUAGGGAUUGAACCCAGAACUUUUGUUGUUGUUGUUUGUUUGUUUUGUUGGUUGGUGUCUUAGGGUUUUACUGCUGUGAACAGACACCAUGACCAAGACAAGUCUUAUAAAAACAACAUUUAAUUGGGGCUGGCUUACAGGUUCAGAGGUUCAGUUCAUUAUCAUCAAGGUGGGAGCAUGGCAGUAUCCAGACAGGCAUGGUGCAGGCAGAGCUGAGAGUUCUAUGUCUUCAUCCAAAGGCUGCUAGUGGAAGAGUGAUUUCCAGGCAACUAGGGUGAGAAUCUCAUGCCCACACCCACAGUGACACACCUACUCCAACCAGGUCACACCUCCAAAUGGUGCCACUUCCUGGUCCAAGGAUAUACAAACCAUCACAUUUGGUUCGGUUUGGUUUUGUGGGGGGUAGUUAUUUAUUUUUUGAGACAGGGUUUCUCUGUGUAGCCGUGGCUGUCCUAUGACUUAAUUGGAAGGCCUUGAAUUUACCGAGACACACCUGGUGAACCUGGGACUUCUUGCACUCUGCCAGUUGACCAAAUCCCCAAUCAGUUUUCUUUAUAUAUUCUUGUGACAGAUGAGUGGCAUAUUUGUAAAAGUACAGUCUAUUUUUCCCUGUGAAAUUUAAGAAAGUGAAAUAAUAUUAAGUAUCUAGGACAAAUGUUGAUCUAGGAUUUGUGUUUCUCGUUGUCCUGUUUAAUAAAAUAGUAUUUUUUUUCAGGGGGAUGAAUUGAGACAUUGUCUCACAAACCUGAAAUUGACUUCAGACUCAGGAUAGCCAAAGCUGACUUGAACUCCUGAUCCUUCUGGGUCAGCCUCCUGAAUGCUGGGAUUAUAGGUGUGCAUCUGUGUGUUUGUUUUGAGAUGAGGUUUCACUGUGUAGCCUGUGCUGGCCUCCAGCUCUCAGUGAUCCUCCUGCUGUCAUUUUUCUAGUGCUGGCAUUAUGAGUACUGGGCCAAGUUAAGUAUGGCCAUUUUAUAAAUUGAAACCGUUUUAGAAAAGUCCCACAGCUACUGAGUAUCUGCCAUUUAAGUAUAAACAUGACCUUACAUGUACUUUAUGCCCCUUUUCCUUUCAGAGGAAGCUGAUACUGAAAAUAGGAAUGGAUUGGGGGAGGUCAGGAAACAUAGCUCCUCUGAAUCACGAAGCAAGGUAUGGAUUGUCAGGAAGGCUUGUGCCUAGUAUGGCGGUUCCCCCUGACCCAAGCUUCUAGAAGGUAAAGAGUCAAGAUUCCUGGUAUGAGGCCUGUAGUUUGAGACCAGCUUCUUUCCGUAGCUUACUUUACACAGAGCUUAUGUAGUUUAGGAAGCACUGACUCUUCUUCCUGAUGGAUAAGUAGGUCUUAGUACAUUUAUCAAAAACAAGCCUAGUCUUAGUAGUAUCUGAAUUAGAUUUAAUAUUAUAUAAAAGUAUAAAUUUAUUAUUAUAUAAAAUUAGUAUUAUAAUAUUAUUUAGAAUCAUAUAAAGAUAUUAUUAAAAAUGUAUGUAAAUAAAAGCAUACACUUAGUUUUGUUGUUGUUGUUGUUGUUGUUUGUUUUUUCGAGACAGGGUUUCUCUAUAUAGCCCUGGCUGUCCUGGAACUCACUUUGUAGACCAGGCUGGCCUCGAACUCAGAAAUCCGCCUGCCUCUGCCUCCCGAGUGCUGGGAUCAAAAGAUGUGCGCCACCACGCCCGGCUUGCAUACACUUAGUAUUAUGUAAAACUAGUAAAAUAAAUGUAUUGUAUAAUAAAUGUAUUAUAUAAAAGUAUAAAUUACUUUUAUAAUUUUAUAAUAUUCAGCCUUUAACCUUUUUUUUUAUUUAUUUAAUUAUUUUAUGUGUAUGAGUGUUUUAUUAGGAAGUGGAGAGCUUCUACGUGAUUGGUGUGAAUCGAGCUCUGGUCCCUCGCAAGUGCUCUUAGCCACUGAGCCAGCUCUCCAGCCAGCCUUUAACAUUUUUUUUUAAGCAAGAUCCUGCUUUAUAAUCCAGACUGGCAUUGAAUUUUUAAACCAAGUACUAAGAUUAUAGAUGAACACCAACACAUCUGGCUGUCUCUAAUCUUCCUACUAGAAUUUAAUUGAUAUAGAUAAACUCAUAUUAAAUAAUUAGAAUUCAGUCUUCAGUAAGACAUUUUAAUUUUUUUUAAAAAAUUUAUCUUUAGAGUCAAGAAUGAUGGCUCUUUGGUUAAGAGCACUUGUUGCUCUUACGGAACACCUGGAUUCACUUUCCAGCAUCCACAUAGUGGUUCCAGCCAUCAGUAAUUCCACUUUCAGGAGAUCUAAAGCCAUUAACCUUCAGGCACCAGGUACAUGUGUGUACAUGCAUACAUGCAGGCAAAACACUCACACAUAAAAUAAAUUUUAAAUUUAAAAGAUGUGUUUAUGUUUAUGUGUGUAUUUCUUUGAGACUAUAUGCCACAUGUCGAGGGCUCCCUGUAGAGGCCAGAGAGAGUGUUGGAUUCCUCGGAGCAGGAAAUAUAGUUGUGAGCUUCCCGAAGUAAGUGCUGGAUUUUGAACUCCAAUCCUUUUGAAGAGUAGCAAGCAUUUUUAACAACUAAACUGUCUUUCCAGCCCCAAGAGGUUUAAUUUUCAGAGCUAAGAUGACAGUGAUGGGGGGCUGGAGCCCUAGCUCAAUAGUUGAGAGCAUUUGUUGCUCAUUCAGAGGACCAGGGUUCAGUUCCCAGCACCCACAUCAUCAUCUGUAACUCUAGAGCUAGGGGAUCCUAUACCCUCUUUCUGUAGACACCAGCCAUGUACAUGGUGCACAUAUACUCAGGCAAAACACUAUGCAUAUACAAUACAUAUUUAAAGCAGAAAAGGCAGGCCUAGUGACUCAUCCCUUUAAUCCCCGCACUUGGGGGAUAGAUACAAGCGUAUCACUGUGAGUUCGAGGUCAGCCUGGUCUGCAUAGUGUGUUCCAAGACCUCCAGAGUUAGUGAGAACUUAAGCAAAACC
rnacentral:lncRNA from 1 species